GUCUUCCUUAUUUUUGAAUACUAUACCUCAUAUGUAGGAUUUUGGAUAAUUUUUCCAAACGAGGAGAAUACAUAGAUACAAUAUUACAAAAAUACAAAUUCAAAUUUAACAAACUUGUAAAAAAAUUUCACAAAUCAGGUGUUAAAUUCUCAUUUGUGAUCUUGAGCUUCUUGCUUACUCUCCCAAAUCGAAAGAUCUCUUAUCUCUAAGGUGAGGAAUCACUAAAGCCAGCCUAUUUUCCAUUUCUUUAUGUGUCACCACCAUAACAUUUGCCUUCUUCAUCUGCUCCGAUCUCUUCCUCCGCCACCAAUCUUCUCCCUACCGUUCCUAAAAUUCUUGUAAUGGUCAUAUUAUUAAAUGUAAUUUACAAAAUAAUCUCUUUUGAAGCAAUAAUUAGUCUGUUUGUUUUACAUCUAGAAGUCGGAUGCAAGGUGGGCACCUAUGCUUCCCAGCUCCUUCGCUAUCAAAGCGGAUGUGAUCAAGUCUUUCUUAAAUGUGAUUAUCUAUGAUGAAUUGUGACCAAGCUUAUCUUCAUUGGUAUUGUCUAUGACCAGAUCAGUCUUUGGUCACAUACAGUCACAAUUAAGACAGAUUUAGUCAUAGACUAUCACAAUGAAGAUAAAUUUAGUCACAAUCACAAUUAACACAGAUUUGAACACAGAGGGGUUACGGUUAACAUACAUAAAGAUGACCCAAUGAAGAAAAAGCCCAAGUUUUCCUUUUCACCUUUUCCUUGCUAGUGUCGGCACCAAAAAUCUAGCUUCCUUGACCUGUGGCAUCUUCUACCUUUUACCGGAGUUUUUUUUGUCUAAAUCUCCCAUCAUCCUCCUUUGAAUGGAUGUUGAGCUUCAUCUUGUUCUCUACUGUUUCAAUAGAUUGUUAUGUGGCCGCAAUAUACCAACCGACGAUAGUGCUCAUUGUGCCUCCGAUAUCUUUAUAAUCCCUUUCACCUUUAAUUUCAAAUAACCCACACGAGACUAAUUUCUCAAUUUCUUGUUGGAACUGGAUGCUGUAUAAUUGUAUGUAUGUAUACACAGUUGUCUUGCCUCUAAUUUUGAAGAUUGAAUUGAC
rnacentral:lncRNA from 1 species